rnacentral:tRNA from 2 species
UCCGCUGUAGCUCAGUUGGUAGCAGCAUCUGACUGUUAAUCAGAGGGUCACAGGUUCGAGUCCUGUCAGCGGAGCCA